UCUCUAUGCGGUGUCAGCAGCCGCGGUAAUACAGAGGGUGCGAGCGUUAAUCGGAAUUACUGGGCGUAAAGGGUGUGUAGGUGGUUGUGUAAGUUAGAUGUGAAAUCCCCGGGCUCAACCUGGGAACUGCGUUUAAGACUGCAUAACUAGAGUACUGUAGAGGAUAGUGGAAUUUCCAGUGUAGCGGUGAAAUGCGUAGAUAUUGGAAGGAACACCAGUGGCGAAGGCGACUAUCUGGAUAGAUACUGACACUGAGACACGAGAGCAUGGGGAGCAAAACAGGAUUAGAUACCCUGGUAGUCCAUGCUGUAAAACUAUGAGAACUUGCUGUUGGAUGCAUAAAGGC
rnacentral:rRNA from 1 species